CACACACACCACCCCUGGUACCUAAUGCAGAAGAGACCGCCUUUACAUGAGCAAAUGGUCCUCUCUUCACUUCUGUCUCCUUUCGUGGUUACCUCAGAAAGCCAAGCAUGUAAUCAGGUAAUUUGCUUUGGGGGAAGCCAGCUGCCAUGUUGUAAGCAGCCAUAUGAAGAGAUCCAUAUGGUGAGAACUGAGACCUCCAGCUACAGCCACAUGAGGGAGCCUGGAAGUGGAUUCCCCUGCCCUGUCAUAUCUUCAGAUGACUGCAGCCCUGCCCAACACCUUGAGUGCAACCUCAUGAGAGACCUUGAGACAGAACCACCCAAUUAAGUUACUCCCAGGUUCCUGACUCUCAGAAACUGUAUAAGAUUAUAGAUAUUUGUUGUUUUAAGCUGUUAAAGUUUUCAAUUAAUUUGUUAUGUGUCCUAAUACAAAGCAAAAGGUACUAUAGGUUUUUGUUUUGUUUUGCUUUUCUUCUAAUUUUUAAGUGACUUGAGGAUAGGAGCCACAUCUUAUUCAUCUACAGGUUUAGCAGAGUGCCUAAGGACAUAACAGAUCCAAUAACCAUUUUCUGAAUGAAUGAUCCUCUCCUUCCUGUUUUUAUCAUUAAAGUAAAUUCAAUGAAAAUUACACUUCCAGACUUCUGGCUUAACUAAGGAUUUUUUUUUUUUUUUUUUAAUACUGUGGUUUAACCCAGAGUAUAUAGAAGAGAAAAAAAUUCUGAAAUGAGAUCACUUUUCAGAAGGUCCAAUUUUUUAAAUGCUCCUACCAUUAAGAGUUCAAUAUAAAUUUACAAUGAGCCUCACUGAGCAAUUUAGGAAGCCUUGGCCUUCUGCCUUAUAAGCAUUCAUGAUUACAAACUAAAACUUGGCCUCACCACCUAAGACAUGACAGCAUGAUGGGAAAGACUAAAGGCUGACGUAAGUGUAAAAGAAAGAAACUCCCGUAGGUCUUGGGUUUAGGGAGCAGUAUUUACACUCAUUAUGAGUUGGGGAAAAAGUUCCUAAAGGUAAGUAUCACUUGGUAACUUAAACCGCUUGGGGGGAAUCCGGGAGUAAAUACCUUCUCAGUUUCCAUAAGUGGGAACUAUAUUCUGCAGUAGCAGGAGUUAGUUCUGAUAGAUACUUCAUAGUAUAUCCAUCCCUCCAGAUCCACCAACCCCCAUAGUCUGAUAAGUUCCUAUCGGGAAAACACAGGUUACAUAAAGGAGUAAAAUAAUCCCAUUACCAUGUAGAGAAAUAAAGAUGCAUCCAUUUGGAAACCUCUUAGGAGAUGCGCUUGCUUGAGCUGACAUUUACUAACAGAGCAACAUUUCUUUUUUUUCCCACUGACUAAGCCCCUUUCCUAGACAAUGAUCUCCUCUGGGAGAGAGUUAUUAGAAUUAUUACUCCAGAGUGUUAGUGAAAAGGGUUCACUGAGUAGAAAGAAGAAAAGCAAAGGUUUUGCUCAGCACAGUUAAAGUUUUACCAAAGGGAAGUUCAAGUUGCAUGAAUGAAAAGGACAGCCUUUCACUGGGAAAUAAUUUCCCUGGAUUGCACAAGCUAUACCUUCAGGGAACAUGAACCAGGAUAAUCUCUAGCCUUCUUCUCUUCAGGGAAAGAAAAGACUCAGGAAAUGCUGUCUUUCUUGUCUCCACCCUAAACUAGCUGACAACUAAAUACAGCUCAGGAAGCCAACAGCCAGAAUCAUUUUUUAUUUUUGUCAUCUAAGAAAUUCACUAAAAUAUUAAAAGAGAAAAGCACUGAAUGGGGUGGUACAAAAAAGGGCCUCAGGUUCAGUUAAUUUCCAUUCCAGAAAACAAGCUUUGAUUCUUGCAUCACUUGACAAAGACUGCUUACUUCUCAAAAAUGUGAGUACCGACCUGAAGACACGAAGUAAUGUGUUCUAAAGACUAAACCUUAAACUAACCGGGCUCACUGGAAAAAUAAAUGAACAGCUGUGUUCUUUAAUGUAUAUCUAUUUUUUCAUUAAAAUAAACAAAUAGAUGAAAAAUACAUUAAAUUUUAUUUUACUUAUUUUAUUUUAUGGUUUUUUUCUUUUUCUUUUUUUUUUUUUUUUUUUGAGCCAGAGUCUCACUUUGUCACCCAGGCUGGAGUGCAAUGGCGUGAUCCUGGCUCACUGCAACAGCCCCCUUGAUUCAAGCGAUUCUCCUGCCUCAGCCUCCCGAGUAACUGGGAUUACAGGCAUGUGCCACUGUGCCUGGCUAAUUUUUGUAUUUUUAGUAGAGACAUGGUUUCACCAUGUUAGCCAGGCUGGUCUCAAACUCCUGACCUCAAGUGAUCCACCCGCCUCGGCCUCCCAAAGUGCUGGGAUUACAGGUGCACGCCACUGCACCUGGCCUCUAAAUUUUAAUAUAUAUAUUUAAAACAUGAAUACAAUUCUAGGAAAACAAAGGCAUUUUAAAUUUUGAAUCUUCAAAUUUUGAUAUUAAGAAGGUAAAGAUUGUGAUGUCUCCUUCCUCUCAGGAAUCAUCUGUAAAACAAGGAGACAAAAACAGAAAUACAUUCUCCAUCUUUGAUGGAAAUAGGAGUCACAGGUGAACCCGAACCAUGGUAUAUGAAGUUGCAAAGCAGAGUGCAGGGUAGUAAUUGAUCAAGAGGUAUACAGGAAGUGAACCAUAAACACAGACCAAAUGGGAUAUCAACAAGAAGCAGGACUCUUCUCCCCAAAAUCUCGGGCAUCAUGGGGCAUUGCAUAUCAGGUAUUGGUGUAGGGCAGGGGCCUGUGAGGCCUGGGGCUGAAAACAAGUGGGGCUGGCUGAAACUUGGCCUCAACAUCCUCCACCUACUUCCUAAAAGGCAUAGCAAGCAUUCUUCCUCCCUAUUUUCUCUUUGUAAAAAAUUAGCUAGAGAAGUUCUGAUAACAGAAAUAGAAGGAGCAGUGGGGUGAGGAAGAAGCAGAG
rnacentral:lncRNA from 1 species